UUGAUUCAUUUUGAAUUUUUGCUCAGAGCUGUAAGAAAUAACGUCCGCGAGGGGACUACAGAAAGAGUUUGGUUGGUUCCUCCGGCGGGCGCCUGGUUCCGGGGCUGCGACGCACCCGGGGCGUGACCCCGCCGAGGCAACAGUUUGGUAACGUUCACAUUGGGUUUGGGAGUUGUAAACUCGGUAAUGAUCCCUCCGCUGGUUCACCAACGGAGA
rnacentral:misc_RNA from 1 species